rnacentral:rRNA from 1 species
GACGAACGCUGGCGGCGUGCUUAACACAUGCAAGUCACGGGGGCCGGUAGCAAUACCGGUAACCGGCGAACGGGUGCGUAACACGUGAGCAACCUGCCGAUCUGCGGGGGAUAGCCGGCCCAACGGCCGGGUAAUACCGCAUACGUUUCUUGAGGGACAUCCUUUGGGAAAGAAACCUCGGGUAACCCUGGGCAGAUCGAGGGGCUCNCGGCCUAUCAGCUAGUUGGUGAGGUAACGGCUCACCAAGGCGACGACGGGUAGCUGGUCUGAGAGGAUGGCCAGCCACAUUGGGACGUGAGAGACGGCCCAGACUCCUACGGGAGGCAGCAGUGGGGAAUCUUGCGCAAUGGCCGAAAGGCUGACGCAGCGACGCCGCGUGUGGA